rfam:Brachypodium distachyon strain Bd21 chromosome 2, whole genome shotgun sequence.
UUUCUACUUCCUUUGUCGUACAAAGGAUGUCUUAAUUUUGACUAAAUUUGAAUGUAUUUAUACACUAAGUAAUAUCUAAAUACAUCUACAUUUUGGCAAACUCGAGACAUCUUUUGUUGGACGGAGGGAGCAGUAG